rnacentral:rRNA from 1 species
UUUUCCCUACGGGGGGCAGCAGUGGGGAAUAUUGCACAAUGGGGGAAACCCUGAUGCAGCGACGCCGCGUGAGUGAAGAAGUAUUUCGGUAUGUAAAGCUCUAUCAGCAGGGAAGAAAAUGACGGUACCUGACUAAGAAGCCCCGGCUAACUACGUGCCAGCAGCCGCGGUAAUACGUAGGGGGCAAGCGUUAUCCGGAUUUACUGGGUGUAAAGGGAGCGUAGACGGUGAUGCAAGUCAGAAGUGAAAGCCCGCGGCUCAACUGCGGGACUGCUUUUGAAACUGUACAACUAGAGUGCAGGAGG